GAAGGGAGAGUUCUUGAGAGAGGAAGGAAUUUUCAUCAAAAUGAUCCUCCAAAAUUAUCCGGACCGGGAAAAGUUUAAGUUAUUGUCUUCAUCCCCACUCUUACAGGUAAAAUCCCUAACCCUUUUCCCCAAUUUUUCUUAAUUAAGCUAAGGGAAGGGAGUCUUAUGCUUUGAUUUUUGAACUAACAACUGAAAACCCUCAUGCAUGUAACUCAAAC
rnacentral:lncRNA from 1 species